rnacentral:tRNA from 1 species
GCGAAAGUGGCGGAAUUGGCAGACGCGCUGGAUUCAGGUUCCAGUGGCCGCAAGGCUGUGGGGGUUCGACUCCCCCCUUUCGCAUCA